rnacentral:miRNA from 1 species
AUGAAGGAUUUGUAAGAAAUGUUUGAGGGAACUUACUCAAUGUUUACAACUAAGUCAGUUUCCUCAAACAUUUCUUACAAAUUCUUCAA